rnacentral:rRNA from 1 species
CAUUUUGAUGACCAAACUGAUUACAUACAUGGCAAUAAUAAGGAAGUUGUUCAUAGAUAACUUAUUUCUUGAAAACCCCUCCUGAAAAUCGAAGAGUAACUUCCUCAGGAAGCUCCUUCGUUAUAUCCACAUCGAUGCGAACUCUAACAAAAGAGACUCUAUCCACAUUCCCCGACUGAGCAUCAACAUAAAUAGGCCAUCCGAAAGCAGAUGCUAUAGAACUGAUGUGAUGUUGAGUCCAAAAAUCCAAAAGAAGAAAAGGAAAACGAACCCAAACAGGCACAUGGAAAAUCUUUUUGUCACCAAAUUGAAAAGCUCUCCGGAGCUUUUCCAAAAGAAGAAAACGAUCCCAAAUAGAGUAAGGUCCCAUAUGCAAAAACAUCAACAUACCAUCCUCUCCAUAAAAUCUGAAAAUAAUCCACCCCGUAUUGUGCAUAGUAACCAUAUAUCUCACACCCCAUGUACGACAAAUUGCAUGCAACACUCGCAUACCAGGGACCCUCCUAGAAAAAUACCCAACCAACGAAUGACUCCAUAUACCCGAAUUGCAUUUAUGAUCAAGAAAGAUAGACCCAUCAUCAGUCGGUGGAAUGAACUUAAGCAACCUUUCAUUUUCAACAUGAUUAUUAUUAACAAUUUUCAAAUAAUCCAAUGGCUCACGUACCUCGGAAGAAGCUUUCCUCGAUUUAGAGCUCCCUCAUCCACCACGCUUGAAGGCCUUCUCACCCUUCAAAGGAGGAUUCGGGACAUCAUCAUUCACAACCCUCUCGCCAUUCAAAGGAGGUCUCGGCACACUAGGAGUCACAUCCGUCAUCCCCACAUCCUUCUUCAAAGCAUAAUCUAAAGCUCCCACCAAAGAUGGAGCUUCAUGCAAAGCCUCUAGAAGAUCCCUAACCACAAGCUCACCCUCAUCAACCACCUCAUUCAUCACACAAGAAGCCUUGGAAGAUUUCUUUGAAGCAACAAUAUUAGAGACCUCAUUAGACUUGAGAUUCUCCUCCAUAAUAAGAACAUGAUUUUUAACAUUGAUUGCAUGCCCCUCUUUCGAAGACUUAAAGGACUCUCCAAUAACAUGAUUAGACUCCCCUCCCUUAGAGGAUGAGGAAACCUUAGCCUUUUUCCCCAUCAAGCAAAGGAUCAAAGGACAUGCAAACCUUCAAACAUAAGAAAACCCUCGAAAAACCCUAAAAGAGGUGGCCGAAAAUUGACUGUCGGCGACCUCCACCACCGCCAACCACACUGUCCAAUGAGAUACUGUCGACUAGAAUACGAAGCAACAAAAGAAAAAGCGGAAAUCUAGAGAGAGAAAAUCCUAAAAUCUCCAGAGUACCACUCUCUUCACUUUUCCUUUAGUAACUAUGAGUAACUAUGACUCUCUUAAGGUAGCUAAAUGUCUUGUCAUCUAAUUAGUGACGUGUAUGAAUGGAUUAAUGAGAUUUCCACUGUCCUAUCUACUAUCCAGCAAAACCACAGCCAAGGGAACGGGCUUGGCGGACUCAGCAGGGAAAGAAGAUCCUAUUGAGCUUGACUCUAGUCUGACUUUGUGUAAUGACUUGAGAGGUGAAGGAUAAGUGGGAGCCCAAAGGCGAAAGUUAAAUACCACUAUUUUUAACGUAAUUUUAUUUAUUCCGUGAAUCGAAAGCGGUGCAUCGCCCCUCUUUUUGGACCCAAGGCUCGCCCCGGUGGGCCGAUCCAAGCAGAAGACAUUGUCAGGUGGGGAGUUUGGCUGGGGUGGCACAUCUGUUAAAAGAUAACGCAUGUGUCCUAGGAUGAGCUCAACGAGAACAAAAAUCUCAUGUGAAACAGAAAGGUAAAAGCUCGUUUGAUUCUGAUUUCCAGUACGAAUACGAACCAUGAAAGUGUGGCCUAACGAUCCUUUAGACCUUCGGAAUUUGAAGUUAGAGGUGUCAGAAAAGUUACCGCAAGGAUAAUUGGCUUGUGGCAGCCAAGCAUUCGUAGCGACAUUGCUUUUUGAUCCUACGAUGUUGGUUCUUCCUAUCAUUGUGAAGUAGAAUUCACCAAGUGUUGGAUUGUUCACCCACAAAUAGGAAACGUGAGCUGGGUUUAGACUGUCGUGAGACAAGUUAGUUUUACCCUACUGAUGAAGGUGUCACAAUAGUAAUUCAACCUAGUACGAGAGGAACCGUUGAUUCGCACAAUUGGUCAUCGCGCUUGGUUGAAAAUCCAGUGGCGCGAAGCUACCAUGCGCUGGAUUAUAACUGAAUGCCUCUAAGUCAGAAUUCAAGCUAGACACGAUGCAGGCGCCCGUCGUCCACUCCCUGACCCACAGUAGGGCCCCUGGGCCCCCAAGGGCACGUGUCGUUGGCCAACCCACCACGGCGGACGAGCUGCGUGGGCCCACCUCAAAGUACAAUUCCAAUCGAGCUGUGGGUAGAAUCCUUUGUAGUCGACUUAAAUACGCGGUGGGGUAUUGUAAGCGGCGGAGUGGCCUUGCUGCCAUGAUCCACUGAGAUUCAGCCCUUCGUCGCUUCGAUUUGU